GUUGUUAUUGUACAAAGGAAGACCCUGUUAGUGCUGGAUGUUGGGAGUGAUCCGGUGUGGCAGACUGAACGAUCCCCUCCUAAAAAUCGGUCCGCCCUGCCUUCACUGCGCAUGCGUCAUUUCUGUGCGUCAGCCGCG